AUGAAUGUGCUUGCCUAGAACUAUCGAGGCUUGGGGUUGGACUCAACAGUUGGUGAACUUCAUGACCUGAUUAGGUCCCACAACCCAGCGGUGGUAUUUCUGAGUUAAACAAAGAAAAGUGCAAGGGCGAUGGAGAAACUGAAGUGGAGUUUGGGUUUCAAGAGUGGGGUGGCCGUGAGCUGUGUGGGUAGAAGUGGUGGUCUUGCGAUAUGGUGGAGAGAACAUGUGCAAGUAACUAUUAGGCCAUGGUGCCAAAACUUUCUAGAUGCGGAGCUGGCGGUGUGGAUGGAAAAUAUGUUAGGAUCACUGGAUUCUACGGGGAACCUGACACCAAAAAAUGGAAGAAGUCAUGGGAUGCUUUGA
rnacentral:rRNA from 1 species